GUGAGGAAUAUUGGUCAAUGGGCGGAAGCCUGAACCAGCCAAGCCGCGUGAGGGAAGAAGGCGCUCGGCGUCGUAAACCUCUUUAGCCGGGGGACAAAGGCGGUCACGUGAUGGCCGUAAGAGAGUACCCGGAGAAUAAGCAUCGGCUAACUCCGUGCCAGCAGCCGCGGUAAUACGGAGGAUGCGAGCGUUAUCCGGAUUUAUUGGGUUUAAAGGGUGCGUAGGCGGACAGUUAAGUCUGCGGUAAAAUCGCGGGGCUCAACCCCGCCAAGCCGUGGAAACUAACUGACUGGAGUAGGUGAGAGGCAUGCGGAAUGCGCGGUGUAGCGGUGAAAUGCAUAGAGAUCGCGCAGAACUCCGAUUGCGAAGGCAGCAUGCUGGCGCCUUACUGACGCUGAGGCACGAAAGCGUGGGGAUCGAACAGGA
rnacentral:rRNA from 1 species